rnacentral:rRNA from 1 species
GAUGAACGCUAGCGGUAGGCCUAACACAUGCAAGCCGAGCGGUAUUGUUUUUUCGGAAUUGAGAGAGCGGCGUACGGGGGCGUAACAGUGGGGCAACCUGCCUUUAUUUGGGGUAUGGCCUUGCUAACGGAGGAUUAAUACCCCAUAUUAUAUUGACCGGCAUCGUUUAAAAUUGAAAGCUCCUGCGGAUAUAGAUGGGGACGGGCAAGAUUAGCUAGUUGGUGAGUUAACGGCUCACAAAGGCGAUGAUCUUUAGGGGGGCUGAGAGGGUGAUCCCCCAGACUGGUACUGCGACACGGACCAGACUCCUACGGGAGGGAGCAGUGUGGAAGACAGGUGAAUGGAUGCAAGCCCAAACCAGCCAUCCCGCGUGAAGGACGACUGGCCUAGGGGUUGUAAACUUCUGUUGUAUAGGGACAAACCUACCCUACCGAGGGUAGCUGAAGGUACUAAAAGAAUAAGCACCGGCUAACUCCGUG